rnacentral:misc_RNA from 1 species
GCAAACUUGGUCAUUUAGAGGAAGUAAAAGUCGUAACAAGGUUUCCGUAGGUGAACCUGCGGAAGGAUCAUUAGUGAAAUCCAAACGGUUGGCGUCCUGGCGUCUCACGAGCCAGGGCCCUUCCACCCUCACACACACCUCUGUCGAACUGUCGGGAGUUGGUUCUGCCUUCUCUCACUUUUCAAACUCCUAAGGUUUUUGAAUGAAGUUUUGGUGAAAACCAAAAAUACAACUUUCAACAACGGAUCUCUUGGCUCUCGCAUCGAUGAAGAACGCAGC